rnacentral:rRNA from 1 species
UACAGGGGGGGCAAGCGUUGUUCGGAAUUACUGGGCGUAAAGGGCUCGUAGGCGGCCGGCUAAGUCCGACGUGAAAUCCCCAGGCUUAACCUGGGAACUGCGUCGGAUACUGGCGGGCUUGAAUCCGGGAGAGGGAUGCGGAAUUCCAGGUGUAGCGGUGAAAUGCGUAGAUAUCUGGAGGAACACCGGUGGCGAAGGCGGCAUCCUGGACUGCAACUGACACUGAAAAACGAAAGCCAGGGGAGCAAACGGG